rnacentral:rRNA from 1 species
GACGAACGCUGGCGGCGUGCUUAACACAUGCAAGUCGAGCGGAAAGGCCACUUCGGUGGUACUCGAGCGGCGAACGGGUGAGUAACACGUGAGUAAUCUGCCCCUCACUUUGGGAUAGCCACCGGAAACGGUGAUUAAUACCGGAUAUGACCAUAUGUCGCAUGGCGUGUGGUGGAAAGUUUUUCGGUGAGGGAUGUGCUCGCGGCCUAUCAGCUUGAUGGUGAGGUAAUGGCUCACCAUGGCUUCGACGGGUAGCCGGCCUGAGAGGGUGACCGGUCACACUGGGACUGAGACACGGCCCAGACUCCUACGGGAGGCAGCAGUGGGGAAUAUUGGACAAUGGGCGGAAGCCUGAUACAGCAACGCCGCGUGAGGGAUGACGGCCUUCGGGUUGUAAACCUCUUUCAGUACCGACGAAGCGCAAGUGACGGUAGGUACAGAAGAAGCACCGGCCAACUACGUG